CUCACAAAGUGGCUGUUGUAUGUUGUUUUCUUCCAUAUCACAGCCAGCUUUGAUGAGUG
rnacentral:pre_miRNA from 1 species